ensembl:misc_RNA Metazoa_SRP Metazoan signal recognition particle RNA
GCCGGGCAUGGUGGCACGUGCCUGCAGUCCCAGCUACUUGGGAGGCUGAGGCUGGAGGCUGAGGCUGGAGGAUGGCUUGAGUCCAGGAGAUCACUAUGCCAAUCGCCCUGAGUGUCUGCAUUAAGUUCGGCAUCAAUAUGGUGACCUCCCGGGAGCCGGGGACCACCAGGUUGCCUCAGGAGGGAUGAACCGGCCCAGGUCAGAAAUGGAGCAGGUCAAAACUCCCUUGCUGAUCAGUAGUGGGAUCGCGGCUGUGACUAGCCACUGCACUCUAGCCUGGGCAACAUAGUGAGACCCUGUGUCUA